CCUAGACUACCCAAAACGACGUGAAUUCCCUUCCCCAAUUUUAAUCAAAUUUUUAUUAUUAUUACCUUUACUUCCUUUAUUUUCUGUUCUUUUCUUUAUUUCUUUCCAUUUCUCCUUCUCUUCAUCGAUACCUUCCUUCUCCCUUCUCAAUCCGUCGAUAACUCCACUCCUACCGGCUGGAAAAGAGAUUACCGGUGACGGGAAAGAAACCUGACUAUCUCUCUCUCUCUCUCUCUUCUCUCGAUUUUUCGACGACGACGAGCUACUCCGGCGACUUCUUUCGCUCAGGAAGAAGCUCUUUUUCCUCUUUUGACAAAUAGCUUUGUUCCCCCUUCAUCAACAGAGCCUUAAUGUAAAUUUUAACUGCUUUUGAACUUCUUUUUGUAUCAAAACUCUAUCUGUAUAAAUAAUCCAACCUUUGCAGUUACUUAGGACUAAUUGGGUAUGAAUGGGGAGUUAGCUACUCCAAUAUUUUUGUAAUAAAUUUAAAGUCUUUGUCGGUUCUUAUGAAGGAACAAGCCCAUCAAUUAUGACAAUAUGGUCUGAUGGUGCCAUGGAUGGGUCCGAUUAUGAGUAUUGAUUAUAUUUAUAUGCUACGGGCUGGAUGUAAUAUUUGUAUUUAUAUUAUUAUUUCUCCUGAAAUUUAUUUGGAUCAUGGCACUUAUUUAUUUUAUUAUGAAAUAUGGACUUGGGCUUCAUAAGAUGAAUGAUUAUAAAAUAAAUGAGCCUUUAAAAUGCUAUUGAUAUAUGAACAUUUGAAAUUCUUAAAUGGGCCUAGUAUUUAGGCUUAGUGAUUCUUAGGCUUACUAUGGAUUUCAGUAGCCUUAUAUUUACCUGCCGUUCUGACCCAUAGAAAUGGGUCGUGAUACAUUAAGUAUUACAAAGUUGAAGUUGAUAAAUGGUUAAAAUGAAAAAGUUCAGGAGGAUUUUAAGCGUUCAAUAGAUAGAUUAUAUAUAUAUGUACAUUGAUUUAAAUUGUAAUUAUUACUGGGGAAAAAAAUAAUAAAUUUUUAAAUUUUAAUCAAAUUAACACUAAAGACAUUUGUUUUUUAAAAGGCAAUUAUGAGGUCCUUAAAUUUGAUUCGGUUAAUAAUUUCAUCUACAAAUUUCCUAUCAGUCUUAGCCAUUUAAGUGAGCCUGAGAGAGAAAACUUUUAAAUCCCAAAAACACCCCGAAGUAUGACAAUGUUAUCGUCAACGGCGAACCGAAGGCAAUUGAUGCGUGGUUGUUCAUGGUUGCUAUCCUCGGCAUUGAAAGAGAGAUUAACUCUGAUAAGAGUAAUUCUAGCUUGCAUGAACCCGAUUGUGGUUUUGAUAGUUGAGAUUUUGCAUAGGCAAGUUCAAGGCCAUUGGAUAAGAAUUUGUCCUGGGCAAUGGUGAUGAGAGCUGAGCAAGGAAAGGUGGAUAACUCUUUACGAAGUGUAUGAAGAACCGACCUGAUGGAGUCAAUGCGGGUGGGGAUUAGCCCGUGCUUAUCGGAGCCAGUAAAAAAGAAAUUAAACAAGAAGAAGGGAAUGAAUCCAAUGUAAUGGCGAAGCUUGAAGUUAAAAUUCUUAUAGAUUUUAUGCAGAAAAUUAGAAAAGAAGCCAUUAAUAAAUGUUUCAAGAAAGAUGUUCUUGAUGCUUUUGCAGCCAAGAGAAAGAGAGGUUGUUUAGAAAGUGAGGACGGUAAAGAAGAAAAGUAAGAAAGAUUUAAAAAGCCAUCGAAGGGAGAAAAUCACAAAAAGCAAAUUUCAAAAGCUAAAAGAAGGGUAAGAAAUAGAUAUUGAAAUAAUUGGAUUAAAUCUUUCAUAGAUGUGCCUCUUCCUGAAUUGCAUAGAAAAAUUGAUGGUAAAGGAGGGGUUUAUUUAAAAUUAAUGGAACAAUUCUUAUGCAAGCUUUUAAGUGUUAUACUGGAACCAUGUGGGCAUGAAGCUGAGAUGGUUUUAAGGAAUGGAGUAUGCAAAGUUCUGAUAUCUAUUAUUUGACCGAAGAGUCUUGGACAAUAAUCUCAGUCCAGUGCUACGGAGGAGAUGGUUAGUGAGUUGCAGGGUGGAGAGGAGUGAAGGAGGGAAUGAGGGCAUUUUCGUACUUCCACAUUAAUUUCACGGUUAAAGUAAAGUUGAGUAUUUUGGACGGAAGAAUGAAACUGUCCACAGAAUCAAAAUUUGGGAUUCUUAUAAUUGCCUUUUAAAAAUAGAGAUUUUCAAAUGUUAAUUAGGUAAAAAUUUAGAGGUCUUAUAAUUGUU